CUCCGACCACGCCCGCCGUACCUAGGCCCGCCCCCUUACUUCCCUAUAUAAACCUCUAGCCGUCCAAACAAUGUCAGACAUUGCUGGACGGCAGAGGUACUAGUGACAUGUCUGGUGGCCACACUGAGCGCUUGUCUCUUAUUGGAGCUCUGCUAGCUCUCUACUGACACCUCUGGCCAAAUUUAAUAUGACACAUUUCUGCUAACCUCAUGUAUGCAGUUAUUUAAUUAUUAUUUUUUGACAUAUUUUUCUACAUAUGGUUAGGUAUUUCAUUACAUGUAUAUUUAUCCUGUCCCUUUUUUAUGGACAGGUUUUUACAUUAUCAUAUGUUACUUUGUGACUAUAUGGGCCUGAGGUCUUGCUAUAUGUGAUUCUGCACCGCCGGCUUCCUUCCUCUUAAUUUCAUCCAGAGGAGUCUUUCUGCGUCCUGAUAGUGGUGUCCUUUCUCUGGGGUGUGCAGGGUUGAUUAAACGCUGUGAUUGAAAAGUGGUUCUUAUACUCGUUGACUACAUAUACUUCGGCCCCUGAUGAAGGGUAAUCCGAAACGCGUAGGGCCGUGUAUGUCUUCAUGGACCUUGCUUUUCAAUGACACCUAACCAUGUAUUGUUUUUAAAUAACUCUAUGUGAUAUA